AGCCUUAGGAAAAUAUCUAAGGUUUGACCUGCCCACUGUGUAAAAGGUAAGUCCUGUUAUGAAUGGCCGCGGUACUUUGACCGUGCUAAGGUAGCGUAAUCAAUUGGCUCUUAAUUGGGGUCAGGAAUGAAUGGAGUCACGGGGCUUUACUGUCUCCUAGCUAAUAAUUUGAAGUUACUAUGUAAGUGAAAAAGCUUAUGUUUAGAAAAAGGACGAGAAGACCCUUAGAGUUUUACUAAAUUAUAUAUUAUUAUUUAUAUCGGUUUAGUUGGGGCAACUCGGGAUAGCAAAAAUUUAAUAAUCUCUCUAGCAUUAUUAACCGAUUAUAAUAAAUUUGAAUAAACUACCUUAGGGAUAACAGCAUAAUUUUAUAUUGAAGUUUGUGACCUCGAUGUUGGACUAGGAUACUAAAAGGCUAGCCGUCUUUUAGGAAAGUUCUGUUCGAACUAUUAUUCCU
rnacentral:rRNA from 1 species